rnacentral:misc_RNA from 1 species
AGAAGUUUUUCCUGAAUCCAUUAAAGCCGUCCGACGCAUGAUGCUGUUCUGAGUCUCCAACGAUCACUGUGCUUUAUUGCAUGCUGGCGGGUGGGCGUGUGUGCCGGCUUUCGUAAUCAGGAUCGCUGUUGGCUUUUAGCCGUGCUGACGUUCCCUCACCUGCACACUAGUGAACAGCAUGUCGACAAGUGAAAAUGAACGGCUCUGGUCGAGCCUGGCCGAAGGCGACGAGAAAGGGGUGGUCCAGGCCCUAGAUGAAGGCGCUGACGUGAACCAGGUGAGCCGCGGCGGAGGUCGGCCCAUUCACUCCGCUACUCUUCGGAAUUCUGGCGGUCUCGUGAGGAUCCUUUUGAAUCACGGCGCCCUCUGCGAUGCUUCCGACGACGAAGGCUUCACGCCUCUAAUGGUGGCGUCCCUAAAUGGGCAUACUGAGGUGGUGCAGGAGCUGCUGAAGGGCGGUGCGGACCCGAAAAUACAUCGGCCUGAUGACUUCGGCGGGGACACAGCCCUCCACAUGGUCACCAACACAGACGAAGGCGAGGUGUUGAGAGCCCUGCUGGAGGCGGGGGCUGAUCCUAACGCCAGGGCCAGCGGCAUGAACAACAUGACGCCUCUGCACUUCGCUGCGGAGUUCGGGAGAGAGAACUUGGCUGAGCUGCUCGCGAACCACCCGAGCUGCGAAGUCGAUCUGAGAGACGCCCGUGGCCUCACGCCCGCCCGCCUGGCUAAGGAAAGCUGCCCGAGUCUCUCGCUCUACCUGGAUUUGUGCUGCGGAGCCAAGUCUCGCAUGGACAAGCUUCUCAUCGUCGCAGUCAGGAGGAAUGAUGCGGCGGAAGUGCAGGCAGCGCUGGACAAGGGAGCGGACCUGAGCUUACAGGGUCCAGAGGAUGGCGGGACCUUGCUCCACCUGGCGUCCCAGGGUUCCUCAGGACAAGUUCUCCAGAUGCUUCUCUCGCGAGGCGCCUCGGUGGACGCAAGGACCAGUCAGGGAUUCACACCGCUCAUGAUAGCGGCUCAGAGGGGCGCGACGGACGCCUUAGUGCACCUUUUGGAACGUCACGCCAAUCCUAAGCUGGCCACUAAUGACGGGACGACGGCGCUGCACUUGGCCGUGCAAAGUCAAGACUCUUCCGCAGUUUCUGCUCUCCUCGACGCCGGCGUAGACGUUAACGCCACAAAGGUCGACGGGUCCACGCCGCUGCACAUCGCCGCUGCGUUGGGGGCCCUCGGGCUGGCUCGCCUCUUGUUGGGUGACUACCUGUGGGAUGGAACCAAGGGCGGCUCGGCUGCCCAUGUGGCGAGGGAGGCCGGCCACCUGGAAUUCGCCAAGUUCAUCGAGCAAGUGGUCCGCAGUUAUGAUGAGAGUGACGACAAAAGUUCUGAGCUCCCCCAAGAGGACUUCCGCGUAGUGGUCGGCCAGCCCGUGCCUCCCGGGCCGGGCGUCUACCGGAACCUCUCCGAACCGUAUCGAGGUCGAGUCCUCAUCAUCAACUACCGGGAAUUCAAUGAGGGGAAACUCGCUCGCAACGGCUCUGAGAAAGAUAUGGAAAAUCUCUGCAAAUUGUUUAGGAGUAUGGGCUACCAAGUGGAAGAUCACCAGGACCUGGAUCUGGAAGCGACUAAAAAGGUGCUGAAUGACUUCAGGAGUAACGAGGAUCUAGCUAAAGUUGACUCAAUGUUCGUGUGCAUGAUGAGCCAAGGCAUCGACCGGGAUACAUUUUACACCUCUGAUAUGAAAAAGAUGGACGUCUCUGCGGUCCGAAAUAUGUUCAAAGAUGAGGCUUGUCUUAUCAUGAAGGGAAAACCCAAGGUUUUCCUUUUCAACUUCUGCCGCUUCUCUGGACAAAGCAUAGUUGACGAUCUACCUCCCGCAAAGGACGAAGCCCCGCGCGAUAUGCUAACCCUCUACGCGUCGACGGAAGGCUUCAAGGCUUUUAGGACGAACGAAGGAACUUUGUUCGUGCGGUCCCUGUGCCAAACUCUAGCCGCCCACGCCCACAACACGGACAUGGUCAGCAUGGUUCAGAAGCUGGACCAGCUCAUGACAGCAAGACGACACGCUACAACGACGGAGGCACAGAGCUUCGCCUUCAAAAAGUUUUUCCUGAAUCCAUUGGAGCCGUCCGACGCAUAACACUUCUGCGGUGUCCAACGACGAGAGAGUUCCUUGUAUGCUGACGGGGGGGCGUGUGUGCCGGCUUUCGUAAUCAAGACCGCUGUGGGCCUUUAGUUGACCUGGAAAAGAGAAUGCUGAACCAGACCGGAUCCCUCUACGUUCUGUGAAAAGAGCCAUAAGGGUAAGACAAGAAAGUCCUCCUCUCGCUUAUCUCCUCUCCGAAGACUCCGCCUCCUCCUCGCGCCGACCAUCAAGGAGUCGUGGCGGAUCCUGCUCCUCCGGCCGACUCCCCUGGACGUGACCUGGGGGCGGGAUGGCCGCCUGAGUGAGGGACACGUUCUUUUAUCUAUUCAUUUUUUUGAAACAGGGUUUCGUUUUCAGAUGACACGAGACACACACACGCGCGCGCGCACACACACACACACACACACACACACACACACACACACACACACACACACACACACACACACACAUACACACACACGUAGAAUCGUGUUAUCUAAAUGUCCACAAAACUCCAAUGCAACAGCCAUGGACUUUCUUUCCAUCUAAAUUGUAUAGCCCUGUCUCACAGAUCAUUAAACUAAAAAUAAAUGCUGGAUAUAUCUUGCAAUUACAUGUAGUGCCUUGAGAGAAACUGAGAAGACGGGAAAUGAGCUCGAUAGAUAAGGUGAAAAUAAUUGAAGAUUAAGAAAGAACGAAAGAAAAAAUGUAAUAUGCAAAUGUAAAACCCACAGUCAUAGCUUGUAUUACGUAAAACGCACACUGAAUGUUGACAUAUGUUUGCUUUAAUUAAAGCCAGUCUUACAAAAAUACUAUUAUCUGACAAUUUUCAUAAGCGAGUAAAAAAAUCUAAUUCUUAUUGGAAACAGUAGACUUUGUUGUAAGAACUGCAGGGUAUCAAUACCUGUACUUUCAUAUUUCCUUUUAAGCAG